rnacentral:rRNA from 1 species
CGGCCUGAGAGGGUGUCCGGCCACACUGGGACUGAGAUACGGCCCAGACUCCUACGGGAGGCAGCAGUGGGGAAUAUUGCACAAUGGGCGCAAGCCUGAUGCAGCGACGCCGCGUGGGGGAUGACGGCCUUCGGGUUGUAAACCUCUUUCAGCAGGGACGAAGCGCAAGUGACGGUACCUGCAGAAGAAGCACCGGCCAACUACGUGCCAGCAGCCGCGGUAAUACGUAGGGUGCGAGCGUUGUCCGGAAUUACUGGGCGUAAAGAGCUCGUAGGUGGUUUGUCGCGUUGUUCGUGAAAACCGGGGGCUUAACCCUCGGCGUGCGGGCGAUACGGGCAGACUAGAGUACUGCAGGGGAGAC